rnacentral:rRNA from 1 species
AGCGUACACGGUGGAUGCCCUGGCAGUCAGAGGCGAUGAAGGACGUGCUAAUCUGCGAUAAGCGUCGGUAAGGUGAUAUGAACCGUUAUAACCGGCGAUUUCCGAAUGGGGAAACCCAGUGUGUUUCGACACACUAUCAUUAACUGAAUCCAUAGGUUAAUGAGGCGAACCGGGGGAACUGAAACAUCUAAGUACCCCGAGGAAAAGAAAUCAACCGAGAUUCCCCCAGUAGCGGCGAGCGAACGGGGAGCAGCCCAGAGCCUGAAUCAGUGUGUGUGUUAGUGGAAGCGUCUGGAAAGGCGCGCGAUACAGGGUGACAGCCCCGUACACAAAAAUGCACAUGCUGUGAGCUCGAUGAGUAGGGCGGGACACGUGGUAUCCUGUCUGAAUAUGGGGUGACCAUCCUCCAAGGCUAAAUACUCCUGACUGACCGAUAGUGAACCAGUACCGUGAGGGAAAGGCGAAAAGAACCCCGGCGAGGGGAGUGAAAAAGAACCUGAAACCGUGUACGUACAAGCAGUGGGAGCACGCUUAGGCGUGUGACUGCGUACCUUUUGUAUAAUGGGUCAGCGACUUAUAUUCUGUAGCAAGGUUAACCGAAUAGGGGAGCCGAAGGGAAACCGAGUCUUAACUGGGCGUUAAGUUGCAGGGUAUAGACCCGAAACCCGGUGAUCUAGCCAUGGGCAGGUUGAAGGUUGGGUAACACUAACUGGAGGACCGAACCGACUAAUGUUGAAAAAUUAGCGGAUGACUUGUGGCUGGGGGUGAAAGGCCAAUCAAACCGGGAGAUAGCUGGUUCUCCCCGAAAGCUAUUUAGGUAGCGCCUCGUGAAUUCAUCUCCGGGGGUAGAGCACUGUUUCGGCAAGGGGGUCAUCCCGACUUACCAACCCGAUGCAAACUGCGAAUACCGGAGAAUGUUAUCACGGGAGACACACGGCGGGUGCUAACGUCCGUCGUGAAGAGGGAAACAACCCAGACCGCCAGCUAAGGUCCCAAAGUCAUGGUUAAGUGGGAAACGAUGUGGGAAGGCCCAGACAGCCAGGAUGUUGGCUUAGAAGCAGCCAUCAUUUAAAGAAAGCGUAAUAGCUCACUGGUCGAGUCGGCCUGCGCGGAAGAUGUAACGGGGCUAAACCAUGCACCGAAGCUGCGGCAGCGACGCUUAUGCGUUGUUGGGUAGGGGAGCGUUCUGUAAGCCUGUGAAGGUGUGCUGUGAGGCAUGCUGGAGGUAUCAGAAGUGCGAAUGCUGACAUAAGUAACGAUAAAGCGGGUGAAAAGCCCGCUCGCCGGAAGACCAAGGGUUCCUGUCCAACGUUAAUCGGGGCAGGGUGAGUCGACCCCUAAGGCGAGGCCGAAAGGCGUAGUCGAUGGGAAACAGGUUAAUAUUCCUGUACUUGGUGUUACUGCGAAGGGGGGACGGAGAAGGCUAUGUUGGCCGGGCGACGGUUGUCCCGGUUUAAGCGUGUAGGCUGGUUUUCCAGGCAAAUCCGGAAAAUCAAGGCUGAGGCGUGAUGACGAGGCACUACGGUGCUGAAGCAACAAAUGCCCUGCUUCCAGGAAAAGCCUCUAAGCAUCAGGUAACAUCAAAUCGUACCCCAAACCGACACAGGUGGUCAGGUAGAGAAUACCAAGGCGCUUGAGAGAACUCGGGUGAAGGAACUAGGCAAAAUGGUGCCGUAACUUCGGGAGAAGGCACGCUGAUAUGUAGGUGAAGCGACUUGCUCGUGGAGCUGAAAUCAGUCGAAGAUACCAGCUGGCUGCAACUGUUUAUUAAAAACACAGCACUGUGCAAACACGAAAGUGGACGUAUACGGUGUGACGCCUGCCCGGUGCCGGAAGGUUAAUUGAUGGGGUCAGCGCAAGCGAAGCUCUUGAUCGAAGCCCCGGUAAACGGCGGCCGUAACUAUAACGGUCCUAAGGUAGCGAAAUUCCUUGUCGGGUAAGUUCCGACCUGCACGAAUGGCGUAAUGAUGGCCAGGCUGUCUCCACCCGAGACUCAGUGAAAUUGAACUCGCUGUGAAGAUGCAGUGUACCCGCGGCAAGACGGAAAGACCCCGUGAACCUUUACUAUAGCUUGACACUGAACAUUGAGCCUUGAUGUGUAGGAUAGGUGGGAGGCUUUGAAGUGUGGACGCCAGUCUGCAUGGAGCCGACCUUGAAAUACCACCCUUUAAUGUUUGAUGUUCUAACGUUGACCCGUAAUCCGGGUUGCGGACAGUGUCUGGUGGGUAGUUUGACUGGGGCGGUCUCCUCCUAAAGAGUAACGGAGGAGCACGAAGGUUGGCUAAUCCUGGUCGGACAUCAGGAGGUUAGUGCAAUGGCAUAAGCCAGCUUGACUGCGAGCGUGACGGCGCGAGCAGGUGCGAAAGCAGGUCAUAGUGAUCCGGUGGUUCUGAAUGGAAGGGCCAUCGCUCAACGGAUAAAAGGUACUCCGGGGAUAACAGGCUGAUACCGCCCAAGAGUUCAUAUCGACGGCGGUGUUUGGCACCUCGAUGUCGGCUCAUCACAUCCUGGGGCUGAAGUAGGUCCCAAGGGUAUGGCUGUUCGCCAUUUAAAGUGGUACGCGAGCUGGGUUUAGAACGUCGUGAGACAGUUCGGUCCCUAUCUGCCGUGGGCGCUGGAGAACUGAGGGGGGCUGCUCCUAGUACGAGAGGACCGGAGUGGACGCAUCACUGGUGUUCGGGUUGUCAUGCCAAUGGCACUGCCCGGUAGCUAAAUGCGGAAGAGAUAAGUGCUGAAAGCAUCUAAGCACGAAACUUGCCCCGAGAUGAGUUCU